CAGCAGUUCAAGUUGCAUCCCUUUUUAUUGGGUCUAAAACGUCCGUAGCCGGUUUAGUAAAUGCCUGGGUAAAUCGUGUAGCUUAACUAUACGACUUCCGGGUAGACUGCUAAACUUGAGACCGGGAGAGGCUAGAGGUACUCCUGGGGUAGAGGUGAAAUUCUGUAAUCCUAGGGGGACCACCAGUGGCGAAGGCGUCUAGCUAGAACGGGUCUGACGGUGAGGGACGAAGCCCUGGGGCACAAACCGGAUUAGAUACCCGAGUAGUCC
rnacentral:rRNA from 1 species